rnacentral:tRNA from 1 species
GCGCCUGUAGCUCAGUGGAUAGAGCAUUGGCCUCCGGAGCCAAGGGUCGCACGUUCGACUCGUGUCAGGCGCACCA